AAAUCAUGAUUUGGAAUUUUCGGCAAGUACUCCUUAAAUCUCUCCCAAGCUUCAUAUAACUAAUCCCCCGGUCGCUGCUUGAAUUCAUAGAUCUUGUCACGAAUAU